rnacentral:rRNA from 1 species
UACGUAGGUGGCAAGCGUUGUCCGGAAUUAUUGGGCGUAAAGCGCGCGCAGGCGGUCUUUUAAGUCUGAUGUGAAAGCCCCCGGCUCAACCGGGGAGGGUCAUUGGAAACUGGGAGACUUGAGUGCAGAAGAGAAGAGCGGAAUUCCACGUGUAGCGGUGAAAUGCGUAGAGAUGUGGAGGAACACCAGUGGCGAAGGCGGCUCUUUGGUCUGUAACUGACGCUGAGGCGCGAAAGCGUGGGGAGCAAACAGG